rnacentral:tmRNA from 11 species
UGGAAUUGACAGUAGGUGCAGUACAAGUGUAAGCAUGCAGGGAGUUGUUGGUAUUUCCCUUAAAAAAACCUUCACCUUUAUAAAUGGCGAAAGACAAUACGCCCUUGCUGCCUAAUCAGAUUUAGAUAGCAAUGUGUCUCGCAAGCCCUACUGUUCUGCAGGGUUUGCAUGGAGGCAUCACAAAGCAGAACUGGUGCUGGUAGGUCUGUGAUACCAGUACGAGAUUCAUCGCAGAUAAGGCCGUGAUCAGGUUGGAUGCUCACCUUGCCCGGCUCGAAAAUUAACGAGCAAAUAAGCAUGUAGAAAGCGCUUAGUAUUCCUUAUCUGGACCAGGGUUCGAAUCCCUGCGGCUCCACCA